rnacentral:lncRNA from 1 species
GUACGCCGCCACCCACUCCUGCCGACGCCAUCGAGAAUGCGUCUCGCCUGCUUACAGGGAUUUGCGACGACGUUCGAAACUGGACACGCAGUCUCGACAUGCGAAGAGCCUCUUUCACAUUCCACUCGAUCGAUCAAAGCAGGUUGGACGUUGAGGCAGCGGGGAUCGAGUGUUUUUCAGAUCCGUUCUCGUCUUGUUUUGCUGUGAAACGCACCUCCGAAGAGAGACCAGUGUCGCCGUGCUUGUGGCGGACCUGGAGAACGGGAAGAAAGAAAGACACAGGGUCCUUCUCAUGUUAAAACCUGCCUCGAGACUGGUGAAAAGGCUGGGGAAAGGUGAGGAAUUGACGUCGACGCUUGCGCAGGCAGUUUAGGGAGGGAGGGAUGAUUGAGCUGUCUCCCGAGUACGCGACAGAUCCUCUCGGCUGGCACCGUGUUUCGCUCCUCGUUCAAUGGUCUCUGUGCCGCUCUGUCUGUCACCCUUUCAGAAACUCCCCGCCGUAAGCGUUUGGUGGCGACGAGACGUCGCGCGAGCUUGGUGUUGCGCGGGAUUUUCGACAACUGGAAUUGUCGCUGCGUUCACGGAAAAGAUGCAGGAAAGAAAACGGCAGCGGUGAAGAGAAUCGCGAGUGUUAUAACCAGCCAGAGGGAGAAAGACAGUUCCAUUUUGUCACUCUUAGAUUCCAAGAACGUCUGCGUGCCUGCGGCUGCUCGUGCACUCCAG